AUUGAACGCUGGCGGAAUGCUUUACACAUGCAAGUCGAACGGCAGCACGGGGCAACCUGGUGGCGAGUGGCGAACGGGUGAGUAAUAUAUCGGAACGUGCCCAAUCGUGGGGGAUAACGUAGCGAAAGUUACGCUAAUACCGCAUACGAUCUACGGAUGAAAGCGGGGGAUCGCAAGACCUCGCGCGAAUGGAGCGGCCGAUAUCAGAUUAGGUAGUUGGUGGGGUAAAGGCUCACCAAGCCAACGAUCUGUAGCUGGUCUGAGAGGACGACCAGCCACACUGGAACUGAGACACGGUCCAGACUCCUACGGGAGGCAGCAGUGGGGAAUUUUGGACAAUGGGCGCAAGCCUGAUCCAGCCAUUCCGCGUGCAGGAUGAAGGCCUUCGGUUGUAACUGCUUUGUACGGUAACGAAACGGUACUGCCCUAAUACGGCAGGCUAAUGACGGUACCGUAACGAAUAAGACACCGGCGUAACUACGU
rnacentral:rRNA from 1 species